rnacentral:rRNA from 1 species
UGGGGAAUAUUGCACAAUGGGCGCAAGCCUGAUGCAGCCAUGCCGCGUGUAUGAAGAAGGCCUUCGGGUUGUAAAGUACUUUCAGCAGUGAGGAAGGUUCAUACGUUAAUAGCGUAUGGAUUUGACGUUAGCUGCAGAAGAAGCACCGGCUAACUCCGUGCCAGCAGCCGCGGUAAUACGGAGGGUGCGAGCGUUAAUCGGAAUUACUGGGCGUAAAGCGCAUGCAGGUGGUUCGUUAAGUCAGAUGUGAAAGCCCGGGGCUCAACCUCGGAACUGCAUUUGAAACUGGCGGACUAGAGUACUGUAGAGGGGGGUAGAAUUUCAGGUGUAGCGGUGAAAUGCGUAGAGAUCUGAAGGAAUACCGGUGGCGAAGGCGGCCCCCUGGACAGAUACUGACACUCAGAUGCGAAAGCGUGGGGAGCAAACAGGAUUAGAUACCCCCGUAGUCC